rnacentral:rRNA from 1 species
GACGAACGCUGGCGGCGUGCUUAACACAUGCAAGUCGAACGAAAAUACCAAGCUUGCUUGGUUGAUUAGUGGCGAACGGGUGAGUAACACGUGAGUAACCUGCCCCUUACUUUUCUGGAUAACUGCACGAAAGGGUAGCUGAUACGGGAUAUUAUGCCCAGCCUGCAUGGGUUGGUUUGGUAAGGUUGUUUUUCUGGUAAGGGAUGGGCUCGCGGCCUAUCGGUUUGUUGGUGGGGUGAUGGCCUACCAAGGCUUUGACGGGUAUCCGGCCGGAGGGGGUGGGACGCUAGACCGGGACUGCGGUCCGGCCCAGUCUGGUACGGGAGAGAGGAGUAUGGAAUACUGCAGAAGGGGCGCAAGCCUGAUGCAGCGACGCCGGGUGAGGGAUGAAGGCCUUCGGGUUGUAAACCUCUUUCGUCAGAAAAGAAGGCACUGCUUUUUUGGUUGUGUUGAGGGUACCUGGAUAAGAAGCGCCGGCUAACUACGUG